rnacentral:lncRNA from 1 species
CUGGGGAGGGGGCUGACAGUGAUUUCACUGAUGAUUCCUUGAGAUCGGAAACCAUGCCCAGUGGCUGUAUGGAAGGAAUUGGUUGUCUUGCCCUCAACUGGGCCAACACGGGGCUGCUAGUCCUUGGAGAUUGAGCCCUCAGCCAAUACCCCUCGUUCCCAAGGGCUGGUAUGAAUGGGGUGGAAAAGGAACUCCAGCUUUCCUUAUGUGGCCAAAAAGCAGCCUAAGAACUCUGAGCGCUGUGAAGGGCAGGACAGGAUGGCAGAGCGGAGGAUGCUGAAGGUUACAAUGAAUAUCAACGGCAGCCUUGAAGAGAGAAAGGGCAUCCUGAGGAUGGGAGAAGGAGUUGUGCUCAGAGAUUUGCUGUGCUGGUGAGGCUGGGGUUGAUGUGAUCACUUUGGGCUGAUGGUGUCCAUCAAUCCCCAAGCUUCUUUUGUCCUAGAUUACAGAAGCUUCUCCUUUUCAUCAGCAGCCACCUGGAGUAACUGUGCAAUGUCUGAAGUAUGACUCUCCCAUCUCUCUUCUCCUCUGUAAGGCAUGGCACUUGGAGUGACCACUCUGAGAACAGUGCUUCUUCUCCUUUAACAUUUGAAUAAUAAAAGGCUGUCCAAUGAGG